rnacentral:rRNA from 1 species
UAUCUGCCGUGGGCGAUUGAGAAUUGAGAGGGGUUGCUCCUAGUACGAGAGGACCGGAGUGAACGAACCGCUGGUGUUCGGGUUGUCAUGCCAAUGGCAUUGCCCGGUAGCUACGUUCGGAACUGAUAAGCGCUGAAAGCAUCUAAGCGCGAAGCAGGCCUCGAGAUGAGUUCUCACUAGAGCUAUAAGCUCUCUGAAGGGCCGUUGGAGACUACAACGUUGAUAGGCAAGGUGUGGAAGCAUAGUGAUAUGUUAAGCUAACUUGUACUAAUUACCCGUGAGGCUUAACCAUACAACGCCAAACGCGUUU